rnacentral:rRNA from 1 species
UACGUAGGGUGCAAGCGUUGUCCGGAAUUAUUGGGCGUAAAGAGCUCGUAGGCGGUUUGUCGCGUCUGCUGUGAAAACCCGAGGCUCAACCUCGGGCCUGCAGUGGGUACGGGCAGACUAGAGUGCGGUAGGGGAGACUGGAAUUCCUGGUGUAGCGGUGAAAUGCGCAGAUAUCAGGAGGAACACCGGUGGCGAAGGCGGGUCUCUGGGCCGAAACUGACGCUGAGGAGCGAAAGCGUGGGGAGCAAACAGG